GAUGAACGCUGGCGGCGUGCCUAAUACAUGCAAGUCGAGCGAACGGACGAGAAGCUUGCUUCUCUGGUGUUAGCGGCGGACGGGUGAGUAACACGUGGAUAACCUACCUAUAAGACUGGGAUAACUUCGGGAAACCGGAGCUAAUACCGGAUGAUAUUUUGAACCGCAUGGUUCAAAAGUGAAAGACGGUCUUGCUGUCACUUAUAGAUGGAUCCGCGCUGCAUUAGCUAGUUGGUAAGGUAACGGCUUACCAAGGCAACGAUGCAUAGCCGACCUGAGAGAGUGGUCGGCCACACUAGAAAUGAGACACGGUCCAGACUCCUAAGGGAGGCAGCAGUAGGGAAUCUUCCGCAAUGGGCGAAAGCCUGACGGAGCAAAGCCGCGUGAGUGAUGAAGGUCUUCGGAUCGUAAAACUCUGUUAUUAGGGAAGAACAUAUGUGUAAGUAACUGUGCACAUCUUGACGGUACCUAAUCAGAAAGCCACGGCUAACUACGUG
rnacentral:rRNA from 1 species